CUAGUGUACAGGCCCCACGCUGGGCUUUGGGCCUACGGUGAUGAGUGACACGGACACACCUGCCCGGAAGAACUGACAGUCUAUCCGGGAAGACAACAAACAAGGGAACGGGUGGUUACCAAGCUCGGAGACACCCUAGGGAAUGAGACUGAGGAGAAGGUGCCCUUUGAUAAGGGAGAGUUGCGUCAAUGAGCUACAGGUGAGUUAGCAGAGCACCCCGGGAGGGUCUGGGCACAGAAGGCCUGAGCCCAGUUCUGAGGUGGGAAGGGCUGCGGAGGCCGGUGUGGAAGGAGCAGAGUGACGGCGUGGGGAGGAGCGUCCAGGGAUGACACCCAGCAGUGUGCGGGACCAGACGCACAGGGCCUGGAGGGAAGAGCAAGCGUGACAGGGGCCGGCGACGUCCUGUGCGGGCAGUGACGUGAGCUGACCUGCGCUCUGCGCCGCUCCCGCCCCUCCGCAGCCCGGCUGCACUUGGGGCUGCGCGCGUUCUAACCGCCUUCGAGGGCGGCGCUGGAAAGGGUGCUAACCGUCUUAGCAGAUGCUGUGAAACCCAGGAUCCCUGCCAAGAGCAGCAGCCAGAGAGCAAAGCCCCACAGGACAGGGAGCCCUGGUGCAGAGAUGAUCUGCUUGGUUCCAGUGAGGAUCCUGACCUAUGGUUCGAUGGCUCUGGAUGCAAGUGACUCUAAUCCUAGCAGCCGGGCCCGAUGCUGGGAGACCUGAAUUCUGAGCAUGGAGGGACUCGAAAGUCCACAACAGUUGGGACCCAGCCUCACCUUGGCCAAGCAGAAAACCUUCCUAGCUGUGUGACCUUGGACAACUUAAGUAAUUUCUCUGAAGUCAGGAUCUUUACGACAUUUAGGGCUGAAUGCAGAGUAUUUGAAAUCUCCCUGCGCGUCUUCCCUCAAACCAGUUUGCCUCUAUGUGUUCCUUCUCCAGUAAGCUGUGAAAUAAAAGGUUUCCUUGUAGUGCUUUCAUAUACUACUCACUGCAGUUUAAUAUAUGAGACACUGCAUCAUAGUCGGGAGGUUCAAAAUUACCUCAAAGUAAUCAUUUCCUAGAGGGCUGGUAGUAAACAUUCUGUCACACAGCUAUAGAUUUUUGCCUGUCUCUAUCAAUCAGCCCCCUGGGAGAUGUUAGGGGAAACGCUCUGGGUACGAAUUGCGAACUAGUGAGUGU
rnacentral:lncRNA from 1 species